AACGAACGCUGGCGGCAUGCCUAACACAUGCAAGUCGAACGAGACCUUCGGGUCUAGUGGCGCACGGGUGCGUAACGCGUGGGAACCUGCCCUUAGGUUCGGAAUAACUCCCCGAAAGGGGUGCUAAUACCGGAUAAUGUCUUCGGACCAAAGAUUUAUCGCCUUUGGAUGGGCCCGCGUUGGAUUAGCUAGUUGGUAGGGUAAAAGCCUACCAAGGCGACGAUCCAUAGCUGGUCUGAGAGGAUGAUCAGCCACACUGGGACUGAGACACGGCCCAGACUCCUCCGGAGGGGGGGAGGGGGGAAUGGAGAAAAAGGGGGGAAGGCAUGAACCAGCAAGGCGGGGGGAGGAAUGAGGCUAUGGGGGUAGAAAAGCUUUUGUACCGGGGAGAAUAAUGACGGUACCGGAAAAAAAAGCUCCGGCUAACUCCGUG
rnacentral:rRNA from 1 species